GCACAACUGCUGGGUUCGCGUUUCCUCAAGACCCCUUGACCCUAAUUCAUAAAGCCUUAGGAGUCAGACGAAACUGGGAGAGCAAGCUCGCUUUAAAGCAAGAAGCCCAAAGGUGUUCCGAGACGUCCACUUGAACCCCAACGGUUCAAGGGCAUUUGGAUAGCGACUCAAGCGGUUGUGUU
rnacentral:other from 2 species